rnacentral:rRNA from 1 species
UACGGGGGGAGCAAGCGUUGUUCGGAUUUACUGGGCGUAAAGGGCGCGUAGGCGGUCAGCACAAGUCAGUUGUGAAAUCUCCGGGCUUAACUCGGAAAGGUCAACUGAUACUGUGCGACUAGAGUGCAGAAGGGGCAACUGGAAUUCUCGGUGUAGCGGUGAAAUGCGUAGAUAUCGUUUGGAACGCCAACGGUGAAAACAGACAGCUGGGAGUGUGCUGACGCUGAGACACGAAAGCCAGGGGAGCGAACGGG